rnacentral:miRNA from 1 species
UAGUAAGCAUUGAUUUUGUAGC